UGCGGAGGGAUCAUUACCGAGUUUACAACUCCCAAACCCCAAUGUGAACGUUACCAAUCUGUUGCCUCGGCGGGAUUCUCUUGCCCCGGGCGCGUCGCAGCCCCGGAUCCCAUGGCGCCCGCCGGAGGACCAACUCCAAACUCUUUUUUUCUCUCCGUCGCGGCUCCCGUCGCGGCUCUGUUUUAUUUUUGCUCUGAGCCUUUCUCGGCGACCCUAGCGGGCGUCUCGAAAAUGAAUCAAAACUUUCAACAACGGAUCUCUUGGUUCUGGCAUCGAUGAAGAACGCAGCGAAAUGCGAUAAGUAAUGUGAAUUGCAGAAUUCAGUGAAUCAUCGAAUCUUUGAACGCACAUUGCGCCCGCCAGUAUUCUGGCGGGCAUGCCUGUCCGAGCGUCAUUUCAACCCUCGAACCCCUCCGGGGGGUCGGCGUUGGGGAUCGGCCCCUCACCGGGCCGCCCCCGAAAUACAGUGGCGGUCUCGCCGCAGCCUCUCCUGCGCAGUAGUUUGCACACUCGCACCGGGAGCGCGGCGCGGCCACAGCCGUAAAACACCCCAAACUUCUGAAAUGUUGACCUCGGAUCAGGUAGGAAUACCCGCUGAACUUAAGCAUAUCAAA
rnacentral:rRNA from 1 species